UUUCUAUGAACUAUUAUCAUAUGUAAUAUAAUCAUUAAAAUGAUGCGAUAUAAAAGUGGAUCAUUGGAAAAACAUUCUUUUAAAGCAAUGCUGUUGUUUGGAUGCUGCUGGUAUUUAGAUGCCUAGAUCUUCCCACACGUACAGAAAGCUUAUACACGUGCAGAAUCUGGAAUGUAGUAAGGCACUUAAUACAUGUUAACUGUGGGUUAUAGUG
rnacentral:lncRNA from 1 species